rnacentral:misc_RNA from 1 species
GAGUUCUUGCCCUUCGGGGUAGAUCUCCCACCCUUUGUAUACUAUACCUUUGUUGCUUUGGCGGGCCGCCUAGCUACUGGCUUCGGCUGGUAAGUGCCCGCCAGAGGACCCAAGACCUUGAAAUUUAUGUCGUCUGAGUAAAAAGUUUAAUAUUUAAAACUUUCAACAACGGAUCUCUUGGCUCU